rnacentral:lncRNA from 12 species
AUGUUUCCUCAUUCCCUCGUUCUUUCUAUUCCUCCUUUUUAUAUUUUCUCAUUCCCUUGUUCUUUCCAUUCCUCCUUUUUUGUAUUCUCGUUCCCUCGUUUCUUCUAUUCUUUCAUUUUCUUUUUUCUUGUUCCCUUGUUCUUUCUAUUAUUUUAUUUUCUUUUUUCAUGUAACGUUUUUCUUUCUAUUUCUCUAUUUGCUAUUUUCUCUUUCCCUCGUUCUUUCCAUUUUUUAAUUUUUCAUCUUCUUGUUUUCUCGUUGUUUUUUUUCCUCCUUUUUAUGUUUUCUCUUUCCCUUGCCCAUUUUAUUUUUCCUUUUUUUGUUUUCUCAUUCCCUAGUUCUUACAAUUCGUUUUUUUUUAUGUUUUCUCGUUCCCUCGUUCUUUUUAUUUUUUCAUUUUCCAUUUUGUCAUUCCCUCGUUCCUACAAUUCUUUCAUUUUCUAUUUUCUCCUUCCAUUGUUCUUUCUAUACUUUAAUUUUCUACUUUCUCGUUCCCUUAUUCUUUCUAUUGCUCCUUUUUAUAUAUUCUCGUUCCCUCGUUCGUUCUAUUCUUUCAUUUUAUGUUUUCUCGUUCCAUCAUUCUUUCUAUUCCUCCUUUUUCUAUUUUCUCAUUCCCUUGUUCUUUCUAUUCCUCCUUUUUGUUUUCUCGUUCCCUCUUUCUAUUCUUUCAUUUUCCAUUUUCUCAUUCCGUCGUUCUCUCUUUUCCACGUUCCCUUAUUCUUUCUAUUGCUCCUUUUUAUAUAUUCUCGUUCCCUCGUUCGUUCUAUUCUUUCAUUUUAUGUUUUCUCGUUCCAUCAUUCUUUCUAUUCCUCCUUUUUCUAUUUUCUCAUUCCCUUGUUCUUUCUAUUCCUCCUUUUUGUUUUCUCGUUCCCUCUUUCUAUUCUUUCAUUUUCCAUUUUCUCAUUCCGUCGUUCUCUCUUUUCCAUUUUUUGUUUUCUCUUUCUCUUGUUCUUUCUCUUCCUCCUUUUUUUCUUUUUCAUUCCCUUGUUCUUUCUCUUGCUCCUUUUUAUGUUUUCUCAUUCCCUCAUUCUUUCUAUUCUUUCAAUCUCGAUUUUCUUGUUCCAUCAUUCUUUCUAUUCCUACUUUUUAAGUUUUCUUGUUCCUUCGUUCUUUCUAUGCCUUCAGUUUCCAUUUUCUCGUUCCCUCGUUCUUUCUAUUGUUUCAUUGUGUAUUUUCCCACUCCCUCAUUCUUUCUAUUCUUUCAUUCUCGAUUUUCUCGUUCCGUCGUUCUUACUAUUCCUACUUUUUAUGUUUUCUCAUUCCUUCGUUCUUUCUAUUCCUUCAGUUUCCAUUUUCUUGUUCCUUCAUGCUUGCUGUUCCUAUUUUUUUUGUUUUCUCGUUCCCUCAUUCUUUCUAUUUCUCCUUUUUCUGUUUUCUCAUUCCCUUGUUCUUUCUAUUUUUCCUUUUUAUGUUUUCUCGUUCCCUUGUCCUUUCUAUUCCUCCUUUUUCUAUUUUCUCGUUCCCUCGUUCUUUCUAUUCCUCCUUUUUCUAUUUUCUCGUUCCCUCGUUCUUUCUAUUCCUCUAUUCGUUAUUUUCUUAUUCCCUUGUUCUUUCUAUUCCUCUUUUUCUAUUUUCUUGUUCCCUUGUUUUUUCUAUUCCUCCUUUUUAUGUUUUCUCCUUCCCUCGUUCUUUCUAUUCUUUCAUUUUCUAUUUUCUCAUUCCAUCGUUCUUUGUAUUCCUCCUUUUUCUAUUUUCUCGUUGCCUCGUACUUUCUGCUAUUUCAUUUUCCAUUUUCUCGUUCCCUGGUUUUUUCUGUUCCUCCUUUUUCUAUUUCCUUGUUUCCACGUUCUUUCUAGUCCUCCUUUUUAUGUUUUCUCGUUUUCUCAUUCUUUCUAUUCCCUUCUUUGUUUCUUUCUUGUUCCCUCAUUCUUUCUAUUCCUUUUCUUUUUUCUCAUUCCCUCCUUGUUUCUAUUCUUUCAUUUUCUAUUUUCUCGUUCCCUCACUCUUUCCAUUCCUCCUUUUUUUGUUUUCUCGAUCCUUUGUUCCUUCUACUUCUCCUUUUCUGUUUUCUCGUUACCUUGUUCUUUCUAUGCCUCCUUCUUUCAUUUUCUCGUUCCCUCGUUCUUUCUAUUCCUCUAUUUGCUAUUUUCUCAUUCCCUCAUUCUUUCUAUUCCUCCUUUUUCUAUUUUCUCAUUGCCUCGUUCUUUCUAUUCCUCUUUUUUAUGUUUUCUCGUUCCCGAACUGUUUGUGUUCUUUCUCUUUCAAUUUUCUCGUUCCCUCGUUCUUUCUAGUUUUUUUUUCUAUUUUCUCGUUCCCUCGUUCUUUCUAUUCUUCAUUUGUGACUUUCAUCCUCCCUUGUUAUUUCUAUUCCUCCUUUUUUUUGUUUUCUUGUGCCCUUAUUCUUCUCUGCAUCUCAGUUAUGUAAGUUAGUAGCCUGAAUAUUGAAUAGGUAUUUUGUAACAAAGCUAGGUGACGAUGAUCAUCCUUCUUAGUACUCAAAACUGAAAACCGGUAUGCUGCGCAGAGCACUCUGGUGCUCUGCGGCUUCCUGGUUCGCGCUUUAUAUCAUGCAGCGGUUUCUCUCUGCAGAGGUGAAGUGUCGUCUACUCCUCACACGGUACACUGUGCUGAUAGAUUUUGCUAGUGCCAAAAAUCGCUAGGCACUUCCUCUUUUCUUCUAAACCCUUUCUACCAUAAUAUACUGCCCUGCUUCUUCCAUGUAAUCCCUGCACUCUUUCAACUCUGCAUAGCGAAGAGCACUGCAGUGUAACCUAAGGAUAAAGUGAAAGCGUGCACAGAACACAGUAGUUGUCACUUACCACUGCACAUACCAAUGUCUUCUCUGCACUUAAGAUAUGUACGUUAGUUGGCUGCAUAUGGAAUAGGUAUGUUGUAACAAAGUUGGUUGACGAUGAUUAUCCUUCUUACCAGAAGACACUGAAAACUGGUAAGCUGUGCAGACGUCUGUAGCGCUCUCCUGCUUCCUGGUUCGUGCUUUGUAUCAUGCGGUGAUUUCUCUCUACUGGGGAGAAGUGUCGUCUACUCCUCACACAGUACACUGUUCUGCUAGCUUUUGCUACUGCAAAAAAUCACCAGGCACUUGCACAUUUCUUCUAAACACUCUCUACCAUACCAUAUUGCCCUGCUUCUUGUAUGUAUAAGCUGUACUCUUUCAACUCUGCAAAGUGAAAAGCUCUGCAGUGUAACCUAAGGAUAAAGUGAAAGCGUGCACAGCACACAGUACUUCUCACUUGCCUCUGCACAUACCAAUGUCUUCUCUGCUUCUCACGUAUGCACGUUAGUUGGCUGAAUAUUGAAUAGAUAUGUUGCAACAAAGCUAGGUGACGAGGGUCAUCCUUCC